AAGCUUGCUCUCGGGUGACGAGUGGCGGACGGGUGAGUAAUGUCUGGGAAACUGCCCGAUGGAGGGGGAUAACUACUGGAAACGGUAGCUAAUACCGCAUAAUGUCGCAAGACCAAAGAGGGGGACCUUCGGGCCUCUUGCCAUCGGAUGUGCCCAGAUGGGAUUAGCUAGUAGGUGGGGUAACGGCUCACCUAGGCGACGAUCCCUAGCUGGUCUGAGAGGAUGACCAGCCACACUGGAACUGAGACACGGUCCAGACUCCUACGGGAGGCAGCAGUGGGGAAUAUUGCACAAUGGGCGCAAGCCUGAUGCAGCCAUGCCGCGUGUAUGAAGAAGGCCUUCGGGUUGUAAAGUACUUUCAGCGAGGAGGAAGGCGUUGUGGUUAAUAACCACAGCGAUUGACGUUACUCGCAGAAGAAGCACCGGCUAACUCCGUGCCAGCAGCCGCGGUAAUACGGAGGGUGCAAGCGUUAAUCGGAAUUACUGGGG
rnacentral:rRNA from 1 species